CAUCAUGGGAACUGUAGUUCAUAAACGUGUGGGGCCCAGGUUAGCUAUUGCUGUUUAGUUGGUAGAAAGAAUGUAAGAUAUGGUCAGUGAUCACCACACAGAAGAAGGUAAAAUGAGCAUGUGUGCGAACGACAGACCGCACGUAGGGGAGUUAACAUCACUAUAUAAAUGGCAGAGCUGUUCAGCUAUUACUGUAUAUGUACUAAUUUUAAUUUCCCUUUAAUAUAUUCCCG